rnacentral:snRNA from 9 species
AUACUUACCUGGGUGGGGUGGAUCGAUGAUCAGGAAGGUCGAUGGCCUAGGAAGGCCACCUCCAUUGCACUUGGGAGGGGCUCGCGUUCGCGCAACCUUCACACCAAACC